AGCAAAUUUUUAUGUUUUGGGGAUAUGGAAGAUGAAAUAUGGCUUUAAAAUGACCCCCCAUGAGCACGCAACUCCUGGAGAUCCAACUGUGCUACUCACCGUGCAAAACGGCAGUAACACUGCCUCAAAAUUAGCGUGGUCGCGCUAUGGGCACGCUACCCCGCGCGCAUAUCACAUAUUGUUCUGUAAAAUGCACAUAACAUUUUGCAAAGAGAUCUGUUUGGGUUCCAUAAUAUAUCGUUGAAAAGAUAUUUCAAAGUCCUACAACUUUCUUGCUUUGAGCUUUCCCCAGUUGCUUACAAAUUUUCACUAAACCUUACUGGAAGAUGGACCUUAUGCAAACUUAGUCAAUUUUGUCGAAUCUUA
rnacentral:lncRNA from 1 species